rnacentral:tRNA from 1 species
GGGCGUGUGGCGGAACUGGCAGACGCGCUGGACUUAGGAUCCAGUGGGGCAACCCGUGGGGGUUCAACUCCCUCCACGCCCACCA